rnacentral:rRNA from 1 species
UGGGGAAUAUUGCACAAUGGGGGAAACCCUGAUGCAGCGACGCCGCGUGGAGGAAGAAGGUCUUCGGAUUGUAAACUCCUGUUGUUGAGGAAGAUAAUGACGGUACUCAACAAGGAAGUGACGGCUAACUACGUGCCAGCAGCCGCGGUAAAACGUAGGUCACAAGCGUUGUCCGGAAUUACUGGGUGUAAAGGGAGCGCAGGCGGGAAGACAAGUUGGAAGUGAAAUCUAUGGGCUCAACCCAUAAACUGCUUUCAAAACUGUUUUUCUUGAGUAGUGCAGAGGUAGGCGGAAUUCCCGGUGUAGCGGUGGAAUGCGUAGAUAUCGGGAGGAACACCAGUGGCGAAGGCGGCCUACUGGGCACCAACUGACGCUGAGGCUCGAAAGUGUGGGUAGCAAACAGGAUUAGAUACCCUGGUAGUCCACACCGUAAACGAUGAUUACUAGGUGUUGGAGGAUUGACCCCUUCAGUGCCGCAGUUAACACAAUAAGUAAUCCACCUGGGGAGUACGACCGCAAGGUUGAAACUCAAAGGAAUUGACGGGGGCCCGCACAAGCAGUGGAGUAUGUGGUUUAAUUCGACGCAACGCGAAGAACCUUACCAAGUCUUGACAUCCCUUGACGAACAUAGAAAUAUGUUUUCUCUUCGGAGCAAGGAGACAGGUGGUGCAUGGUUGUCGUCAGCUCGUGUCGUGAGAUGUUGGGUUAAGUCCCGCAACGAGCGCAACCCUUAUGGUCAGUUACUACGCAAGAGGACUCUGGCCAGACUGCCGUUGACAAAACGGAGGAAGGUGGGGAUGACGUCAAAUCAUCAUGCCCUUUAUGACUUGGGCUACACACGUACUACAAUGGCGUUAAACAAAGAGAAGCAAGACCGCGAGGUGGAGCAAAACUCAGAAACAACGUCCCAGUUCGGACUGCAGGCUGCAACUCGCCUGCACGAAGUCGGAAUUGCUAGUAAUCGUGGAUCAGCAUGCCACGGUGAAUACGUUCCC